UACAGAGGAGCCAAGCGUUGUCCGGAUUGACUGGGCGUAAAGCGCACGCAGGCGGGGGUGCGCGUGGGGUGUGAAAUCUGGCCGCUUAACGGCCAGGCGCCAUCCCAUACGGCACGCCUGGAGCCUUGCAGAGGUCGGUGGAAUUGCCGGUGUAGUGGUGAAAUUCGUAGAUAUUCGGAAGAACACCAGUGGCGAAGGCGGCUCACUGGCCCGGUACUGACGCUGAUGUGCGAAAGCGUGGGGAGCAAACAGGG
rnacentral:rRNA from 1 species